rnacentral:rRNA from 1 species
UACGGAGGGGGCUAGCGUUGUUCGGAAUUACUGGGCGUAAAGCGCACGUAGGCGGCUUUGUAAGUUAGAGGUGAAAGCCCGGGGCUCAACUCCGGAAUUGCCUUUAAGACUGCAUCGCUAGAAUUGUGGAGAGGUAAGUGGAAUUCCGAGUGUAGAGGUGAAAUUUCGUAGAUAUUCGGAAGAACACCAGUGGCGAAGGCGACUUACUGGACACAUAUUGACGCUG